rnacentral:lncRNA from 1 species
AUGAAUGACAAACAGGCAAGUUGUUCGGAUCCUGAUCCUGGAUCCUUUUAUAAUGCCCUCCACAGAGCUCUCAGUCCCCCCAAAAAGGAAGAAACUGGACCAAACCCAAGGAAGGCAAUCGUUUCUCUCGAAGAGAACCCAAUGGCAUCCUCUCCGUCUAUGCCCAGAAUUUGUCAGCUCGCUCUAAUCACAGCGGACUCCCAAUACCCGCAUGGAUCCAAACAGCGGCUCCCUCCAGCCCCGCAUCCGCCGGGCGCCGGCACCCCCCUGCCCACGCCAGGGACUGCAGUGGGGGUGGGGGGGCGGUCCCUGCCUCCUGGGUCAAGCGGAGGGAGCAUUUGGGGCUCAACGGAGGUCACUCUCGGCCUCCGCUCUCCUCCCGGGCGGGCCGGGGGAGUCGGGCUUCCCCGGGCAGCUGCUCCCGACCCUCCGGAACCCGACCCGCUCCCUCCCGCAGUGUGGACUCUCCCGCAACCCCGACACUCACCAUCUCGGCAGCCUGGGCUUCUGGACGCGUCCGUCUGUGGGCGGCACAGCCUAAGAGCCGGUUCCCGGUGCUGGAUAGACGGCUGCAGGACUGCAGACGAGAGGGAUGGGGCUCUGAGAAUAAUAACUAAAUACACAAAACGGGCCUCCCGGGAGAGAUCGGCGACAGAUUCAUGCAGCCCAGGCCCUUUGUACCUGCUUCCCGACCGCCUCCAAAUCGGUGGUGGAAGGGAUGGGGGGCGGGGAGGAGGAGCCAGCAGGAAGGGGAUCCCGGGACCUGCUGCCCUGCCCGGGGCCCUGUCAUCCCAGCGCCCCACCCUUGCACCCAGGAUCCCGCAGAACUUUCUCCCCAGCCACUUCUGCUCCCUGGAGGCUUCCAGAAAUGAGAACCACCUCCCCGGGAAAGGAAAGGAAGACUUCCCUGUGCUGGAGCAGGACACAGUCGGGUGGAGGGGUCCCCAGUUUCUCUCUCUGUCACCCCUCCUCCCUCUUUUCCUUUGGCAACCUUCUCCACCCCGCAGGCGCUAA